GGGUUCUACUGUCUCCUUUCUCUAAUCAGUGAAACUAAUCUCCCCGUGAAGAAGCGGGGAUACCACCAUAAGACGAGAAGACCCCAUGGAGCUUUAAACCCAACUACACCCCUACUUUCCACAUCCGCUCAACCAACAGGGCCCUGUACGCUUGGUUUUAGGUUGGGGUGACCACGGAGUAAAAUUAAACCUCCACGAUGAACGAGAAUACCCUCUUAUCUAAGAGCCGCACCUCUAAGAAUUAGUAUACUAACAUAAAAUGAUCCGAUACUCGAUCAACGAACCAAGUUACCCUGGGGAUAACAGCGCAAUCCAUUUCAAGAGCCCCUAUCGACAAAUGGGUUUACGACCUCGAUGUUGGAUCAGGAUACCCCAGUGGUGCAGCAGCUACUAAAGGUUCGUUUGUUCAACGAUUAAAAUCCU
rnacentral:rRNA from 1 species